rnacentral:rRNA from 1 species
UACGAAGGGGCUAGCGUUGCUCGGAAUCACUGGGCGUAAAGGGUGCGUAGGCGGGAUCUUAAGUCAGAGGUGGAAGCCGUGGAGCUCAACUCCAGAACUGCCUUUGAUACUGGGAAUCUCGAGUCCGGGAGAGGUGAGUGGAACUGCGAGUGUAGAGGUGAAAUUCGUAGAUAUUCGCAAGAACACCAGUGGCGAAGGCGGCUCACUGGCCCGGUACUGACGCUGAGGUGCGAAAGCGUGGGGAGCAAACAGG